AAAGAGAAAGAACAAGACUAGCCAUGGUGUAUCGGUGCAUUUUCUAUAAAUUUGGGGUCGCCAUUCUCUUUGCCUUGUUUUCUCUGCAGAAACCUUCCAGGAAAACGGAGAGUUGAGAAAAGCAAGAGAAACAGUUAGGUGAAAUCAACCGAACCGAAACCUCUCCAAAGGCUGCUAAAGCAAACUCAACUCUGUCACUGGGGAAGAUCAGCUCUCUGCAGGAUGGAUGUGAAACCCCCCCGGGGGCCAAGUUCUUACUGGAGUAGGUCUCUUUCUCUCCCUUUUGUGUGUGGGGUGCUCACUUCCCUCCUCUUUGCAUCAUCAUCUGAUUUUCCAGUGGGCACCCUUUGAAGCACAUCCAGUGUGAAUGUCCCUGGCAAGAACAGUUUUCUCUUCAACAUUCAGCUCUCAGAACAUUCCUGAAUGCAGGCUUCUCAGAACGAGUAG
ensembl:antisense A530020G20Rik RIKEN cDNA A530020G20 gene